rnacentral:rRNA from 1 species
UACGUAGGGUGCAAGCGUUGUCCGGAAUUAUUGGGCGUAAAGAGCUCGUAGGCGGUUUGUCGCGUCUGCUGUGAAAACUCGGGGCUUAACUCCGGGCCUGCAGUGGGUACGGGCAGACUAGAGUGCGGUAGGGGAGACUGGAAUUCCUGGUGUAGCGGUGAAAUGCGCAGAUAUCAGGAGGAACACCAAUGGCGAAGGCAGCACUCUGGGACGUGACUGACGCUGAGACGCGAAAGCGUGGGGAGCGAACAGG